rnacentral:rRNA from 1 species
AUGAUGCUCAUUGAUUGGUUGUGCAUGCACGUACUGCAGGUUGCUACAAAGAAGCUCCGUACAAGGCUUUCACAGCUUUGUGCAAAAUCGAUCAUAGUGAUUGGACUGGAAGAUGACCAAGACUCUUCAGGAUAUGAAAAAGCUCUAGGUCCUUGGCUGCUGUCUUUCUGGAAAUCACUGAAUCGAAAAAAUCCGUCGCUUUUACCAAGAAUUUAG